rnacentral:rRNA from 1 species
AUUGAACGCUGGCGGCAGGCCUAACACAUGCAAGUCGAGCGGAUGAAGGGAGCUUGCUCCUGGAUUCAGCGGCACGGGUGAGUAAUGCCUAGGAAUCUGCCUGGUAGUGGGGGAUAACGUCCGGAAACGGGCGCUAAUACCGCAUACGUCCUGAGGGAGAAAGUGGGGGAUCUUCGGACCUCACGCUAUCAGAUGAGCCUAGGUCGGAUUAGCUAGUUGGUGGGGUAAAGGCCUACCAAGGCGACGAUCCGUAACUGGUCUGAGAGGAUGAUCAGUCACACUGGAACUGAGACACGGUCCAGACUCCUACGGGAGGCAGCAGUGGGGAAUAUUGGACAAUGGGCGAAAGCCUGAUCCAGCCAUGCCGCGUGUGUGAAGAAGGUCUUCGGAUUGUAAAGCACUUUAAGUUGGGAGGAAGGGCAGUAAGUUAAUACCUUGCUGUUUUGACGUUACCAACAGAAUAAGCACCGGCUAACUUCGUG